rnacentral:rRNA from 1 species
UACGUAGGGAGCAAGCGUUGUCCGGAAUCAUUGGGCGUAAAGGCGCGCGUAGGUGGCUCUAUAAGUCCGUUGUGAAAGUCAAAGGCUCAACCUUUGAAAGCCGAUGGAUACUGUAGAGCUAGAGUCCGGAAGAGGCGAGGUGGAAUUCCGUGGUGAGCGGUGAAAUGCGCAGAUAUCAGGAGGAACACCAAUUGCGAAGGCAGCUCGCUGGGACGUAACUGACGCUGAGACGCGAAAGCGUGGGGAGCAAACAGG